rnacentral:rRNA from 1 species
CACGGGGGGAGCAAGCGUUGUUCGGAAUCACUGGGCGUAGAGGGCGUGUAGGCGGUCAGGUAAGUGGGAUGUGAAAUGCCCCGGCUCACCCGGGGACCGGCAUCCCAUACUGCCUGGCUUGAGUACGGGAGAGGAUGUGGGAAUUCCUGGUGUAGCGGUGAAAUGCGUAGAUAUCAGGAGGAACACCGGUGGCGAAGGCGCACAUCUGGCCCGAUACUGACGCUGAGGCGCGAAAGCUAGGGGAGCAAACGGG